AGCGAACGCUGGCGGCAGGCCUAACACAUGCGAGUCGAACGGAUCCUUCGGGAUUAGUGGCGGACGGGUGAGUAACACGUGGGAACGCGCCCUUUGGUUCGGAACAACUCAGGGAAACUUGAGCUAAUACCGGAUGUGCCCUUCGGGGGAAAGAUUUAUCGCCAUUGGAGCGGCCCGCGUCUGAUUAGCUAGUUGGUGGGGUAAAGGCCCACCAAGGCGACGAUCAGUAGCUGGUCUGAGAGGAUGAUCAGCCACAUUGGGACUGAGACACGGCCCAAACUCCUACGGGAGGCAGCAGUGGGGAAUCUUGCGCAAUGGGCGAAAGCCUGACGCAGCCAUGCCGCGUGAAUGAUGAAGGUCUUAGGAUUGUAAAAUUCUUUCACCGGGGACGAUAAUGACGGUACCCGGAGAAGAAGCCCCGGCUAACUUCGUGCCAGCCGCCGCCGUAA
rnacentral:rRNA from 1 species